AGAGCGAACGCUGGCGGCAGGCCUAACACAUGCAAGUCGAGCGCCCCGCAAGGGGAGCGGCAGACGGGAGAGUAACACGUGGGAACGUACCCUUCAGUUCGGAACAACCCAGGGAAACUUGGGCUAAUACCGGAUACGUCCGUAAGGAGAAAGAUUUAUCGCUGAAGGAUCGGCCCGCGUCUGAUUAGCUUGUUGGUGAGGUAACGGCUCACCAAGGCUACGAUCAGUAGCUGGUCUGAGAGGAUGAUCAGCCUCACUGGGACUGAGACACGGCCCAGACUCCUACGGGAGGCAGCAGUGGGGAAUAUUGGACAAUGGGCGCAAGCCUGAUCCAGCCAUGCCGCGUGGAUGAUGAAGGCCCUAGGGUUGUAAAGUCCUUUCGGCGGGGAAGAUAAUGACGGUACCCGCAGAAGAAGCCCCGGCUAACUUCGCGCCAGCAGCCGC
rnacentral:rRNA from 1 species